rnacentral:lncRNA from 1 species
ACCCAGUACCAGUGGCUGAUGGGUAAGCAAACACAUGUGCUAUCAGAGGCUAAAACAGGAUUGUUUAAGGCAUUUUCUCCACGGAGGUGCCAAAAUCGCACUCUGAUCAGACAGGAAGUCCUAUUGCUUGAAAGGAGCCAAUGCUAUCAAGAGAAAACACAUCAGGGCCCAUCCUCUUGGAGAGGGAACUGUGACUAAUCAACAAGGCUCCUCUCCAGCUGGCCUCGGGAGCCUUUGUUCAGCCUGGACAGGUCAGGGAAAGUUUGAGCAGGCCACAGUUGUAAGAGGGGCAGUUCCAGAACUUUCCCUUCAGUUUUCCAACCGAGGGAUCAUUGCAGGAGGUUAACCCUGGCAAACUAAGCCAAAUCUACCAGGAGGAUUUAAUCAUGUUAGUCUCCUACUUGAAGCACAUCGAGGGUACCCUAAUAUGGUCUGCCAAGGCCUUUAUGACCUGAACUUGGUGGUCCAACUCUGCCUGCCUUCUGUCUUGUCUGUCAUCCUACAAGUAGCAUUCUUUCUUCAGUUUCUUCAAUGGGUCUGGCCAGUGCCAGUGGGCCUAGGAGACCAGAACUGCACACCUGAGGAAGAGGUCCGGUGGAACUCAGAAAUGGAUGAGACAGACCCCAGUGUGAUAGAUUUCUCCAGCCAGCCCCCCAGCUUCAAGCAACUACUGCCAAUAAUGGCUUCCUGUGUGUCUCUGCUCAAGUCUGUGCACUUCCUAAGGACCGGAGACCUGUCUGAGACCUCAGGUUUUCAGAUAACGUUGAUGGCAGUAACCUUGAGAGUGCGAAGAGGUCUAGAGGAAGGACCAUCACCAAUAGGGUCAUUUGAUGAGUGUGUGCCAUAUGCCACACUCUGCUAAAGACUUCGUGUGCCUUCCUACAACGACUGUGGUGUAGGAAUUUUGCCCUCACAUCAUAGAUAAGAAAGUUAAGGUCAUUUACUCAUUAGGAAGUGGUAAGAUAGAAGCCGGAGUCCAGGAUUUUAAGAGAAAAGGUCUGUCCACAAGGUGUAUCGCCUCCUAUGUGUGGAGCUGCUACUGGCUGAUCUGUUGCCAGGCUUGGCAGGGGGGUUGGGGGGGGAGGGGUGCUCCAGGAAGGGCAAGAAGAUGUGAUCAGGGUGGGACCUCUGUUGUUUGGCCUCACUUCAAACAAAGAUGACAGCAGGGAACUAAAGCCCCUGACUUCCCUCCUCUGAAGACCAAAGCAGGCCAAAAAUAGGAGAGACAGGAAGCAUUUGAUCCCUAAGUGUCACAUGAAUACAAACAUCCUGCCAACUCUGCCUUGAGGGGGUGGCUGAGAGCAGCUGCCACAAAGGGGCCAGCUAGGAGGUCAGCUUGCUGGGUGCCAUGCAGCUAGACUCUCUGGGAUGAUCUAGGCCUGGGAUACGCCAACAGGUUGAGCACCUGAGCAUCUGGGUGGUGGAGAAAUACAACAGACAGUAUCUACCCCCAUUAUCAUUACCCCUAGCCACAUCCCAUUGCCGAGCCCAUGGCUGACACUGGCGCAAGGCCUCUCUGAGGUCCUUCCUGGACCUUUCUUUGACUUCUUUCCACCUACCCUUCCUUCUCUCUGCCUAACUCACAUCAAUCACAUUCUGACGCUUUCUUAGCUUCCUGUGUAUUUUUUUCUUCAAUGCAGCUUGGCUUGUUCAGUCUGCUCUUGGCCUGUGCUUUUCUGAGAACCUCGGCUAACUGAAACCAUCUAGUGAUUCCUCAUUUAACAGUUCAGAAAAACACAAAUUCAAAGAGACAAAGGACUCUUCCUUUAAAAUAUGCUUUUAAAAGAUCUAUUUUAUUUUAUGUGUCUGAGUGCUUUGCCUACAUGUAUAUAUGCAUACCAAAUGCAUGCCUGGUACAUGCCUGGUACUAGGAGAAGUCAGAAGAGGGUAUUGGAUGCCCUGGAACUGGGGUUACUGAUGGGGUGAGUCACCAUGUGCUUGCUGGGAACUGACACUAGCUCUUCUGCAAAGGCAACAAGUGGUCCUAACCACUGAGCCUUCUCCCUAGACUCAGCAAAGGACUCUCUGAGGUAAUACAGUGAACUCGCAGAUGGCAGGAAAUGGGUUUUCCAGCUAGCAGGCCACAUCUUUGACAUCAUGUGCGUUUGAGAUGGGAGAAGGAUAAGACCUGUGUGAGAGUUUCUUCAAACUAGGCCCCACCCGCCUUUUCCCAACACUCACCAGCUUGAAGGCUUUGAGGGUAUAUACGGUACCUGUCUCAUUCACAUCACUCCUAGACACUCCAGUCCCCAAAGCCUGGGCCCCUGACUGCAAUGGUGAGAGUACCAUUCAGACGAGAGGUGUUGCUAUUGCUUUUCAACUGGGGCAGAGGCAAUGUGAACAGACAGACACCAGCAAAUGUAUGUACAUGCAGUAAAGCAGAAGAUAGCUAGAAUCAGGGGGAGCGCUCCCCAGCUAGAGGAACCGGCACCAGCAUUGGUCCAGGCACUCGCCCUGGGGAGGCUUUCUGCUAAUGUCUUUUGCACCUGGAAGGGACUGGCACUGCAGCACUGCCUCGUGGUGCUAAUUACCACGGUACUUCUCCCCAGUGACACUGAGCUCAGUGUCCUGAUAACGUGCUCCCUAAUAGUCUCCCAUUUCCCUGCUGACACCAGAAAAUAGGCCUGAUGUGGUGAGCGGACUGCGCUGAGCGAGGCGUAGCUGUCACCCCAGCCCCCCAGCCUGAAUCAUUAGUGGAUCCGAAUCAAUAGUGUUCAGGCAACCCUUGCUCCUUGGAAGCAUUCAUUCGGCACACUUGCUAUUUGUCAAGUAGUUCCUUUCUCUAACAUUGCAUGGUCUGUGGCCCUGGCGCCUGAGUCUUUCCUUCUUCCACAAAGUGCUGAGGGGAGUUCGUUCGUAAGCUCUACACAGCAUCAGUGUUCUCUCUCUGGAACAAAAGAAGAAGCAGGGAGGGUUAUUUUUGUAAGCACCGGGUUGUAGGCCUUCAUGGUGGCUCAUCGGUGACAAGCAACAGUGUCCAACUAUGGGGAGCAUAAGCAAAGGGAAGCAUGAGAUGAAGUCUAUUUGGAACUCACCAUGGGUCAUCGCUGGGGGCCCAGGGGGUCUGACUUGCCGUACACUGGCCCUUCAGCUUUUUCCCCUAGAUAUUUGCCUGCCCAGUGAGAUUUUUUGUUCCUGGCUUCCCUUCCUCUCCUGAGAUGGAUACUCAGUUGUUUUAGAUACAGUCUAACUGGUUCGCUCUCUGUCAGCUGCUCUCUGUCAGCUGAGUGGGAGACAAGUAGCCUAGGCUAGACCCAACCAACAUCCCCACACUCCAGCACAACUUCCAGCAGCUUGGCUGGGGCUACCUGGGAACCUCAGUCCAAGCACCCGGAGGGAGGCGUGGCCUCGGGGCUACCUGGGAACCUUUGUGAAAUGCUCGGAGUAUUACUGUCCUCAGAACUUUUUUGUUUGUCUGUCUUAAGUGAAGGCUGCUAAUUUUACCAGGUAAUGAGAGCAGCGUGCACUUUCUGAUGAGUUGGAGACACACACCGAUGCCUCUUGAGAUGCUGAGAAGAGCAUUGUGAGUCUUGCUUCUAGGCAGGCACUGGGAAACAGAGAACGGCGUCCAUGGAAGAUACCUUAAUCUCUCUAGACUUCCAGCUCUUUGUAGAAGGAGGGCAGAAGCUGUGGUCUGUUCUCUGCUGGCUUCUUGGGGACUAGCACUGAACCUGCAUUUGAAUUGGUCCAGAAAACAUUUUAUGAAUGAACGAAUGGCUGAAUGAAUGCUAGGAGGCCAGUCAAAACCACCAGUUGACUAAUUGUAAAGGGUUACACUUGCUGUCCACAUCUCAUUAUAGAACCAAUGUGGAGCCUCGGUGUGGAUUUUGGGACUACGGAGCUGAAACCAACCUCAUUAGGUUUUCUUAUCUAAAGCUUUAAUGUUUGAGGGAGGGGAGGGAGAAAGAAUGGAAGAGGCAGUGGGGGAAUUCAUGAUUCAAAGGUGGGGCUGGGAGGAGAGGAAAUUGGGGGUGGUCAGGAAAUGCCUGUAGAGACCCAGGGGUGGGACAAUGGCCCGGAGCUUCAUUUAGUUCUGACUUGUACUGACUAGAGGUUUCCUUUUCAUCUAAAUGCCCAUGGCUGGAGAGGGAGGCCUGCUCUAUGCUACUCCUCACCAAAAGAACUUGCUCGAUAGCAAUACAGGAAGUGCCACCAAAGUUCUUGACCAGAGGCCAUGUGUGGCUGGAAGCAUCUGCCUUUGGAGUGCAGAUGACUAGGAGACCACAACAGCCCUCAGGAGGGCCAAAGAUACCCUCCUGGGUGAAGAGUGGGGUUGAUGGUAUUCUUAUAGGAUAGAAGAGAUGUGAAUACAGACAGACAAAAGGACACAGACAGGGAUGGAGACAACGCAAAGUUGUCCAGUACGGUGUGUGCUUCUCAGCCCGAGUGUCCUGGAAAACUCAGAGAAGUGGGCUGUCGGAGGAAAGGUGAGGCAGGGAGGCUCUGAUCAAGCUAAGCAGAGCCUUUACUGUCAAGCUGACACAUUUCUGAUUCAUAUACUACUUUUUAUGUGUGAAUAAAUGAGUGACUAGAUGAUGUAAAAAUGAACAGUGGAUGAGCAAGAAGAAAGUUUGACUAAAUCUGUCCAAUCCAGUGAUGGCAGAGGCUGGGAAGAGUCUCCUUCCCAGGUGAGCUCUUUGCCUCAGUGCCACAGAGCCAAGAAGCCAUCUGUGAGCUGCAGUCAGAACGCUGGGAGAGGCAUGCCAGAGUUUCUGGGAGAAUGUCCACAGCCAUGUGAAGAUCUCUGCAUCUCUCUCUCACCGCCCAACAAAACAGUUUGGCCACUCAGGCUAAUAAGAUAACGUCUGAAGUUCCACAAUGGAGGCCUCAUCUCUUAGCCAGAAGCUGGAAUGACUGACAUCUGGUGCUGGGCCCUGUGACUGACAGGGCAUCUAGUGCUGGGUCCUGUGAUUGACAGGGCAUCCAGUGCUGGACACUGUGGUAGGCAGGACAUCCAGUGCUGGGCCCUGUGAUUGACAGGGCAUCCAGUGCUGUGUCCUAUGGAAGGCAGGACAUCCAGUGCUGGCCCCUGUGAUUGACAGGAC